rnacentral:tmRNA from 1 species
GAUUUAAAUAAGGUCGGUUUUCAGCCCGUUUAUUUCCCGAAAAUCAAUUGAAAAAUAAGCAUGUAGAAGGUAUAAUUUAUCUCACAACUGGACAAGGGUUCGACUCCCUUCGGCUCCACAA